rnacentral:rRNA from 1 species
AUUGAACGCUGGCGGCGGGCCUAACACAUGCAAGUCGAACGAAUGGCGGACGGGUGAGUAAUGUCGGGGAAACUGCCUGAUGGAGGGGGAUAACUACUGGAAACGGUAGCUAAUACCGCAAACCAUCAGUUGGGCCCAGAGUGGAUUGGCUAGUUGGUGGGGUAACGGCUCACCAAGGCGACGAUCCCUAGCUGGGCUGAGAGGGUGACCAGCCACACUGGAACUGAGACACGGUCCAGACUCCUACGGGAGGCAGCAGUGGGGAAUAUUGGCCAAUGGGCGCAAGCCUGAUGCAGCCAUGCCGCGUGUAUGAAGAAGGCCUUCGGGUUGUAAAGUACUUUCAGCGGGGAGGCGUUACCCACCGAAGAAGCACCGGCUAACUCCGUGCCAGCAGCCGCGGUAAUAC